AUGAGAGGGACAAAGUGGAGAUCCCUGGAAGCUGCAGCUGUGUCAGACCAGAGGAGUCCACAGCAGUUUUGUCCCCGCUCCCUAUGGCUUUCCAGUGGCUUUUCUGGUGCCCGCUGGGAACACAGGAGCUGCAGGAAGUUUGCUAUUGCUUCCUUAUUGGCCUUGGGAUUCUGUGAUAGUCACCCUAUUGUCUCAGCCUUUCCAUGGCAUGUAAAUGCCUGGGUGAGGGGUGGUGGUAGUGAGACAGCAGAUGGGGGCCACUUUGAAAGCCAAGUAGUGUCAGCUCCCACAGAAGGUCUAAUUUUAAACAUGCAAAUAAUUUUCAGUUCCACUUUUCCUUCUUCCUGUUAG
rnacentral:lncRNA from 1 species